rnacentral:tRNA from 1 species
GGAGGUAUAGCUUAGUGGUAGAGUGCAUUCCUAGCAUGCAUGAGGUCCCAAGUUCAACUCCUGACACCUCUA